rnacentral:sRNA from 1 species
ACUUAGAAAAUGUGAAUUUAUUUAAAAUAUGUGAUGGAUUGUGCAGCAUGCUUACAUUUGAAAAUGGAGAUUGUGCCUUUAAAUACUUAAUCAAAGGACUCCUGACCUUCAAGUACCAGUUUGGGCAUAUUACUGGAGAUCCAGGUUGAAAGCCCUCUGGGACCAGCUACUGGCAAGUCAUUUUGUCCAUUUUCAUUGAUCUGGCCACAUAAGGAACAUCCUGUUUCUUUAAAUCCUCAAUGCUUAAAUUGCCAUGUAGAAAUCAACUCCCUAUCAAUUUUCUUCAUUUAAUCAUUGGCUUCUUGUCAUAUUUUCAUUUUUCUGCACUGGUUCCCAUGGCAACAAGUCUGUUGGCAGAGAAAGUAUGACUCUGCUUUUAGCCUUCUGCACAAGACAAAAUCCUUCUGGUGAUCCUCAAUCUUUCCACUCAGAGGAUUCUUAUUUGUCUUGAAUGUGGAAAAGGCAUCUGGUUCAG